rnacentral:lncRNA from 1 species
CAACAACUCACCUUUCUCUUCUUCAUGUAUUUGGCCCCACCACUCCUCUCAGAACACCAGGUCCAGAAUCCACCUCUUCACCCUUCAGAUUCCAGUGAAGUGUCAUCUGCAAAAAGACCCAUGCAGGAGCCCACAGUGCGUUCAGCCCACACAUCUUCUUAGCCUUUGUCAUCCACAGGAGUCUCCAGCGUUGUCCUUGCUUCCCACGGUUCUGACACUUUUGAAAAGUUCUGCUCAGGUACUUUGUAGAAAGUCCCUCAAUUUGAAUUUCCCUGAUGGUUUAUCAUGAUUAGACUGGGGCUCUAGAUUUCUGGGAAGAAUGAUGCAGAGGAGAAGCGUCUUUCUCAUCCCGUCAUAUUGGGGGUACAUGAAUGGUAGCCUUUGUUACUCAGGGUAGUUUCUGCCAGA